ACCCCUCCCCUCCCGCUCCACCACGUGGUCACCGUACUCAUCUCACCCGUCGUCUCGCCCUCUCCUACCUCUGCUCCACCCCACUCAAGGAUCCGUGCCCGCCCAUCCCCUCCUCCUCCGCCACUCCCUACCCCUUCUCCGCCUCCCCGGCUGGUUCCAUGAUCCGGUUCCCGGGUGGAUCCAGAAAUUAGCGGGCGGUUCCCAGUUUCCAUUUUGUGGAACCGGCCCUUAGCGGGUAGUUCCCGAUUUUAGGGUGAGAACUGCUCAAGCGAACAAUGCUCACCCCUAGUGUCGAGAUCGGAUAAACCUUUGUAAACGGGUAGAGGGUACUCUGUUGACUUGAUGCUCCAUAUAGAAGAAGAGGAAUCCAGGCAACUAUGGGAAAAGACGAUCGAAGGAACAAGAAAGAACAACAAGAAGCACUUUGGAAUAGAGAUAUUAACAAGAGAAGGCCAUGCAAGAAACGAGCAAAGAGAACUGUGAAAGGGUGAUGUCAUCGGAUGACAAAACUGGUGCUCGACAUUCUCACGAGUAAACCGACCAAAGAGGAAGGCAUUGAUAGUUCUUCGAGAAAUGGUUCCUCUUGGCUGACAAAAAACAGUAGAUCUUGGAAGUCGAUUGAGAACCACGUCACGACACUAUGUACAGAAAUUACGAUAAAUCGAAUGUUAUUACCUCUUGUUA